rnacentral:rRNA from 1 species
GAUGAACGCUGGCGGCGUGCUUAACACAUGCAAGUCGAACGAAGCAUUUAGGACAGAUUACUUCGGUUUGAAGUUCUUUAUGACUGAGUGGCGGACGGGUGAGUAACGCGUGGGUAACCUGCCUUGUACUGGGGGAUAGCAGCUGGAAACGGCUGGUAAUACCGCAUAAGCGCACAAUGUUGCAUGACAUGGUGUGAAAAAGUCCGGUGGUAUAAGAUGGACCCGCGUCUGAUUAGCUAGUUGGUGAGAUAACAGCCCACCAAGGCGACGAUCAGUAGCCGACCUGAGAGGGUGACCGGCCACAUUGGGACUGAGACACGGCCCAGACUCCUACGGGAGGCAGCAGUGGGGAAUAUUGCACAAUGGAGGAAACUCUGAUGCAGCGACGCCGCGUGAGUGAAGAAGUAAUUCGUUAUGUAAAGCUCUAUCAGCAGGGAAGAUAGUGACGGUACCUGACUAAGAAGCACCGGCUAAAUACGUG